GUAGUCCACGCUGUAAACGAUGAGUGCUAGGUGUUGGGGGUAUCAUGCCCUCGGUGCCGAAGUUAACACAUUAAGCACUCCGCCUGGGGAGUACGGUCGCAAGACUGAAACUCAAAGGAAUUGACGGGGACCCGCACAAGCAGUGGAGUAUGUGGUUUAAUUCGAAGCAACGCGAAGAACCUUACCAGGUCUUGACAUCCCAAUGUAAGAUGCAGAGAUGUGUCCCCUCUUCGGAGCAUUGGAGACAGGUGGUGCAUGGUUGUCGUCAGCUCGUGUCGUGAGAUGUUGGGUUAAGUCCCGCAACGAGCGCAACCCUUGAACUUAGUUGCCAGCACUUCGGGUGGGCACUCUAGGUUGACUGCCGGUGACAAACCGGA
rnacentral:rRNA from 1 species